rnacentral:misc_RNA from 1 species
UUCAAACUGAACAUUUACCAGCUCUCAAAUAGCAACCUCAAACACAUUGGUUUUUGGGAGCCCCCUAACUCCCUUACCAUGCAGCUAAUCCACAGAAACAAGACGAGAAACCCCGGUCUGGCCACUUAUAAGGUGGUGGUAGUGUUGGUGGAGCCAUAUGUUAUAAAAAAGGACGGUAAAUAUGAGGGAUUCUGCAUCGAUAUCAUGGACGCUCUGGCGCAGCGGUUGAACUUCCGGUAUGAGGUCAUCGAGUCGCCGAACAAUGUGUAUGGCAACUGUAUGGAAUUUAAUAACGGCACCGUUUCCUGCGACGGGAUGGUUAAGAUGUUAGUCGACCAGCAAGUUGACAUGGCAAUAACUGGAUUUACAAUAACCCACAGUAGGGCUAAAUACAUCGACUUCACCAAGCCGUUUAUGAACCUCGGGAUCACGGUGCUCUUCCGGAAGCCCAAACCUGACCCCCCUCAGCUGAUGUCAUUCUUGGCCCCCCUGGACAAUACUGUGUGGGCGGGCAUUAUAACCGUGUUCCUGGGCAUAAGCCUGGUCCUUCUUAUUACGGCACGCUUCACGCCUUAUGAAUGGAUCAAUCCCCACCCCUGUGAUCCUACCACAGAGGAAGUAGAAAACCAGUUCACUCCACUCAGUUCUUUGUGGUACGUGAUUGCUGCGCUUAUGCAACAGGGUUGUGAGCUGGCCCCUGUGGCGGUCUCUACUCGGACACUAGCCGCUGUGUGGUGGUUCUUCACUCUCAUUCUAAUCUCUUCCUACACUGCCAAUCUGGCGGCCUUUUUGACGGUCGAAAACGUCGUCUCGCCGAUUGAGAGUGCCGAAGACCUCGCCAGUCAGACAGAAAUAAAAUUUGGAACAACUGAAGGUGGCAGCACGAUGGACUUUUUCAAGUCAUCAAAUAAUCCAACGUACCUUAAGAUGUUCGACAUUAUGGAAAGAGCGAACCCGCCAGUUUGGGCCAACAUUGAGGAGGGGGAGAGACGAGUUUUACAGGGGGACUAUGCCUAUCUGUCCGAGUCUUCCUCCAUAGAAUACCGCGUGGAGCGCAACUGUGACCUCAUGCAGGUCGGGAAUUGGCUGGAUUCUAAAGGCUACGGGAUCGGCCUACCAAAAGAUUCAGAUCUAACCGACGAAGUUUCAAGGGAGGUAAUCAAGCUUCAGGAGGAACAAAUCAUCCAAAGUAUGUAUGACAAGUGGUGGAAACAAAAGAAGGAUGUUGAUUGUUCUGGCGGCAAAACGCAGACGACAAAUCCGCUCACUAUGCAGAAUGUUGGCGGGAUUUUCCUCGUGCUGAUGAUCGGGACAUUUUUCGGGCUGAUAGUGGCUUUGGGCGAGUUCCUGUGGAUAGCCCGCCAAAAUGCAAGGAAAUAUAAGUCCCAUUGGAGGUCAGAGAUUUGUAAAGAAUUUCGGUUUGAAUGGAAAUGUGGAAAAUCUUAUAAAGAUUCAACAGAGAAUGUACUUCAAAGCAUCCCCUUGACAAAGAGUUAUGUGAAGGCCAACGGUGGUCAGGACAUUACAUAUGACACAAAUACUAGUGAUGACGUCACAUGACGUCAUGAUAAACAGACCAAUUUUAAUGAAUUUCAUAUGAAUCACUCUUUUUCAUUGCUGGAUGGUUACUGUUCAUUGUUUGCUUACUGUUUCUGCAAAUAUGUUGAUUUUUGUUGAAUGAAGAAUAAAGCUUGAUUGUGU